UACGAAGGGGGCUAGCGUUGCUCGGAAUCACUGGGCGUAAAGCGCACGUAGGCGGCUUUUUAAGUCAGGGGUGAAAUCCUGGAGCUCAACUCCAGAACUGCCUUUGAUACUGGGAAGCUUGAGUCCGGGAGAGGUGAGUGGAACUCCGAGUGUAGAGGUGAAAUUCGUAGAUAUUCGGAAGAACACCAGUGGCGAAGGCGGCUCACUGGCCCGGUACUGACGCUGAGGUGCGAAAGCGUGGGAGCAAACAGG
rnacentral:rRNA from 1 species